UUAAUUUUUUAAAUAUUAUUUUAUAACAAAAACACAUCAGAAUAUCACUACAUUUUGAUAUUUUGAUAAUUUCUCAUUCUCAGGAUCACUAGUACUAUCAUGAACACCAUGUAAGUAGCUUGUGACUGAUGUAGCCAUUCUCAAGACAAAGAUAAAAUAAUAGUGUGAUCACUAUGGAAUGCACUGAUGUUUGCAUUUGGUAACCUCUCUUUCACCUUACUAGAAUUGUCAAUCAAAGUUUGUCAUAUUACUUGCUAAGUUAUGUAACGUCAUUUUAACAAGUUGCAGUAGCUCUGAACAUUGGCGAAUCCCAGCAGAACCUUCCUGAUCACAAUGCACUUGACAAGGUUACUUCAGAACAACCAUGACAGUGAUGAGGAAGAUGCAGGAGGAGCUUACAAACACGAUCUUUGACAUCAUACAGAGACUGGACAAUACAGAAAAUACCCUGCAGAUUACAAAUAAUGAAUAUGUUGAUGUGGAGCUUCAUUUUUCAACACAGGGGAGUCUCUGAAGGAUAUGGAUUCCAUGCUUGUUCAGGACCAGGAGCUUUGAGAGAAAUUGGGGCAAUAUCUGUCUUUUAAAGGAGGCAGGACAGUCAAAGAAUCCAUCCAUCUAUCCAUUAUCCAACCGGCUAUAUCCUAACCACAGGGUCAUGGGGGUCUGCUGGAGCCAA